rnacentral:misc_RNA from 2 species
GCACUCUCACACCUAACCUUUGGGUUUUGUUGUGGAAUUGGGAUGCGCCGAUUUCAAUAGUCGGCACUCCUAAAAUGUAGUUCUUGGCUGUUUCCUACUACAGCAGUUUGGCCUAAUAGUUUUGACUUUUGUCAAAUCUUUGGCUACAUUUGCUUCUGGAAAUCAGUCUUGAUAAUACAGAAAACUCAUUCAAA